CGUUAAAACACCGAUUCCCAAACGAUCACCGAAGUUAAGCAACGUUGAGCCUGGUCACUACCUAGAUGGGUGACUGCUUGGGAAUACUG